rnacentral:rRNA from 1 species
GAUGAACGCUGGCGGCGUGCCUAAUACAUGCAAGUCGAGCGAACAGAUGAGGAGCUUGCUCCUCUGACGUUAGCGGCGGACGGGUGAGUAACACGUGGAUAACCUACCUAUAAGACUGCGAUAACUUCGGGAAACCGGAGCUAAUACCGGAUAAUAUAUUGAACCGCAUGGUUCAAUAGUGAAAGACGGUUUUGCUGUCACUUAUAGAUGGAUCCGCGCCGCAUUAGCUAGUUGGUAAGGUAACGGCUUACUAAGGCAACGAUGCGUAGCCGACCUGAGAGGGUGAUCGGCCACACUGGAACUGAGACACGGUCCAGACUCCUACGGGAGGCAGCAGUAGGGAAUCUUCCGCAAUGGGCGAAAGCUUGACGGAGCAACGCCGCGUGAGUGAUGAAGGUCUUCGGAUCGUAAAACUCUGUUAUUAGGGAAGAACAAAUGUGUAAGUAACUAUGCACGUCUUGACGGUACCUAAUCAGAAAGCCACGGCUAACUACGUG